GACGAACGCUGGCGGCGCGCCUAACACAAGCAAGUCGAACGGAGCUGAGAGAAGCUUGCUUUUCUUAGCUUAGUGGCGAACGGGUGAGUAACGCGUGAGUAACCUGCCCUGGAGUGGGGGACAACAGUUGGAAACGACUGCUAAUACCGCAUAAGCCCACGAUCCGGCAUCGGAUUGAGGGAAAAGGAUUUAUUCGCUUCAGGAUGGACUCGCGUCCAAUUAGCUAGUUGGUGAGGUAACGGCCCGCCAAGGCGACGAUUGGUAGCCGGACGGAGAGGUUGAACGGCCACAAUUGGAAUGAGGCACGGCCCAGACCCCGACGGGAGGCAGGAGUAGGGGAUAUUGCACAAUGGGGGAAGCCCUGAUGCAGCGACGCCGCGUGGAGGGAGAAGGUUUUCGGAUUGUAAACUCCUGUCGUUAGGGGCGAUAAUGACGGUACCUAACAAGAAAGCACCGGCUAACUACGUG
rnacentral:rRNA from 1 species